AGGUUUUCCCCUCUUUUCUUGCGGCACCAAACCCUAAUUCUCUUCCUUAGACGCAUGACUAUUAUGAAUAUUGAAAUGAAACACUGAGUAUUGUCGAAAUGAAACACCAAUAUAUGCGACACCAUAUAAAUAUUGACCUGAUAAGUUCAUCUCAUUUCAAUGUGAUUAGAAAUCAUAUGUCCUGUUUGAACGAUGAUUGAGCGUGGAAUUGCAGAUGAUUCAUUUCUUAACUAUGGCAUUAGGAGGAGAGGGUUACCUUAAUUUCGUGGGAAAUGAGUUUGGGCAUCCAGAUUGGAUUGACUUCCCCAGAGAAGGCAAUGGCUGGAGUUAUGACACAUGCAGACGUCAGUGGGAGCUCGUGGAUACCGAGCAUUUUAAGAUUUAAUGCUUUCCAUAGUUCUGCUGUUCGAGACAAUCUCAUGCUGGAACCAUGCAAUUAUGCUUUUUCUGCAUCAUAUGUUUUAAGUAUUAACUUAUGAGAUUUUAAAUUUUAUCUUGCAACACUUGGUCUCUUCUGGAAACUUCACAUUGAUUGAGAUUAUUAACUUGCACACUAGGAGAGUGUUAUAAUAUAUUAGAUACACUUCACCGGAUAUCUGCAUCUCAAUCCAAUGUUUUUUCACUUGUGAUCAUAAAUGCAGUUUCUGAAUGCUUUUGACAGAGUCAUGAAUUUGCUUGAUAAAAAAUUUAAAUUUCUUGCAUCACCAAAACAGUUUGUAAGCAGCACGGAUGAUGGUUGCAGGAUAUUUUUAGCUUCCAGUACCAAAAAUAUCUCCAAUUUGAUGGCUUGUUUGUUACAGGUCAUUGUUUUUGAACGUGGAGAUCUGGUAUUUGUGUUCAACUUUCACCCAGAAAAUACGUACGAAGGAAGGGUAUAAAGUUGACAGUGAUGCUUGGGAUUUUGGUGGACACUGAAACACAGUCCUCCUUGGUUAGACAAGCUCACCUUUUGAACAAGAUAAUAGCGUUACCAAGUCAUGGUGGCUCAUGAUUCAGACCAUUUCACAAGCCCCGAAGGUGUACCCGGUGUUCCUGAAACAAAUUUCAACAUCAUCCGGCCGGAUUGCUCCAAAGUUCUCUCUCCGCCUCGUACAUGUUUACUAUCGUGUUGAAGAAGAAGUAAAAGAAAGCAAGAUUGAUGGAUAUGAAGCAUCUCUAGCAAAACUGCCAAACAAAGAAGUCUCUCAGGGAGGUGAUGAAGAUAGUAACGGGUGGUGCUAAGGAAUUAGUACCGGGAACGCGCACUUUAGAAGAUGAAGAUGACGCAUAGUGCUAGAAACGGGGGCGAUAGGAGAUGGCAGCUUAACAGAUUUAGCAAACAUGUAACUUUUGUUUUUUAGUUACUAAAUGUUGGAAUGAAUGCCCCUUUUAUGAAAAGUGUAUGAAACUACACCUUGUGAUAUAUUUCAAGAGUUUUGCACA